UCCCGAGUGGUUAAAGGGAUCAGACUGUAAAUCUGACGGCUCUGCCUUCGAAGGUUCGAAUCCUUCC
rnacentral:tRNA from 1 species